rnacentral:rRNA from 1 species
GACGAACGCUGGCGGCGUGCUUAACACAUGCAAGUCGAACGGUAAGGCUCCAGCUUGCUGGGGUACACGAGUGGCGAACGGGUGAGUAACACGUGGGUGACCUGCCCUGCACUUCGGGAUAAGCCUGGGAAACUGGGUCUAAUACCGGAUAGGACUGCACCGUGAGGGUGUGGUGGAAAGUUUUUUCGGUGUGGGAUGGGCCCGCGGCCUAUCAGCUUGUUGGUGGGGUAAUGGCCUACCAAGGCGGCGACGGGUAGCCGGCCUGAGAGGGUGGACGGCCACAUUGGGACUGAGACACGGCCCAGACUCCUACGGGAGGCAGCAGUGGGGAAUAUUGCACAAUGGGCGGAAGCCUGAUGCAGCGACGCCGCGUGGGGGGUGACGGCCUUCGGGUUGUAAACUCCUUUCACCAUCGACGAAGGGUUUCUGACGGUAGAUGGAGAAGAAGCACCGGCUAACUACGUGCCAGCAGCCGCGGUAAUACGUAGGGUGCGAGCGUUGUCCGGAAUUACUGGGCGUAAAGAGCUCGUAGGUGGUUUGUCGCGUCGUCUGUGAAAUUCCGGGGCUUAACUCCGGGCGUGCAGGCGAUACGGGCAUAACUUGAGUACUGUAGGGGAGACCGGAAUUCCUGGUGUAGCGGUGAAAUGCGCAGAUAUCAGGAGGAACACCGGUGGCGAAGGCGGGUCUCUGGGCAGUAACUGACGCUGAGGAGCGAAAGCAUGGGGAGCGAACAGGAUUAGAUACCCUGGUAGUCCAUGCCGUAAACGGUGGGCGCUAGGUGUGGGUUUCCUUCCACGGGAUCCGUGCCGUAGCUAACGCAUUAAGCGCCCCGCCUGGGGAGUACGGCCGCAAGGCUAAAACUCAAAGGAAUUGACGGGGGCCCGCACAAGCGGCGGAGCAUGUGGAUUAAUUCGAUGCAACGCGAAGAACCUUACCUGGGCUUGACAUAUACAGGAUCGCGCCAGAGAUGGUGUUUCCCUUGUGGCUUGUAUACAGGUGGUGCAUGGUUGUCGUCAGCUCGUGUCGUGAGAUGUUGGGUUAAGUCCCGCAACGAGCGCAACCCUUGUCUUAUGUUGCCAGCACGUUGUGGUGGGGACUCGUAAGAAACUGCCGGGGUUAACUCGGAGGAAGGUGGGGAUGACGUCAAAUCAUCAUGCCCCUUAUGUCCAGGGCUUCACACAUGCUACAAUGGUCGGUACAGUGGGUUGCCAGUCCGUGAGGGCGAGCUAAUCCCGCAAAGCCGGUCUCAGUUCGGAUCGGGGUCUGCAACUCGACCCCGUGAAGUCGGAGUCGCUAGUAAUCGCAGAUCAGCAACGCUGCGGUGAAUACGUUCCCGGGCCU